rnacentral:rRNA from 1 species
GAUGAACGCUGGCGGCGUGCCUAACACAUGCAAGUCGAGCGAACAGAUGAGGAGCUUGCUCCUCGGACUUAAGCGGCGGAUGGGUGAGUAACACGUGGAUAACCUACCUAUAAGACAGGUAUAAUUUCGGGAAACCUGGGCUAAGACCGGAGAAUAUAUUGAACCGCAUGGGUCAAUAGUGAAAUAAGGUGUUGCUGUCACUUAUAGAUGGAUCAGCGCCGCAUGCGAUAGUUGGUAAGGUAAUGGCUUACCAAGGCAACGAUGCGUACGCGACCUGAGAGGGUGAACGGGCACACGGGAAGAGAGGCACAGUCGAGACUCCUAGGCGGGGAAACGGUAGAGACUCUUACGCGAUGGGGGAAAGGCUGACGGAGCAACACCGAGUAAGUGCUGAAGGUCUUAGGAUCGUAGAACUCUGUUAUUAGGGAAGAACAAAUGUGUAAGUAACUAUGCACGUCUUGACGGUACCUAAUCAGAAAGCCACGGCUAACUACGUG